rnacentral:tRNA from 1 species
GGCGGUGUGGUGAAAUUGGUAUACACGACGGAUUCAAAAUCCGUUGCCNNCCGCCCACCGCUACCA